rnacentral:misc_RNA from 1 species
GGCCGUCAGUAACAAAAUUUGAAUGUGAGACUUCUCAAAGUCAAGUUAAAUGAAUCUCCCUUGCUAUUUAACCAACCUUUUGGGAUUAAAAAUACAAUACUAAUUAAUACAAUGUUUAAAUUACAUGAAUAACGUUAUUGCAUGUUCAACCAACCGAUCGGUUGUGGUGCACAUAUGUGCAAGAUGUCUCCCGCUGAACUAAUUCCUCGGAAGUCUUGCAUCCCCUGGUAGAACAAAUCCAUAACAUCGUCAUAGCUGGCCAAAUACGGAGAUCCAAGUCCCCCCUCUGGCAAGGGUAACCUAUAUCCAUCCAGGUCGGCUACAAACGGUUGUGUCCAGAAAUCUUCACUAGUGCUUUCAAAUGUUUCAAAGCAAAGUAGACCAUCUCCUGCAAUCCAGUUUGAACUUGAACUUGUACCGGAUACUGUAACCAGAGAAGAAUCAGAGGUCAAAUAAGAAAGUUCAUUAGAAGAAGGCUCUGGGGAUAACGGGGAGCUUUCUAAUAUUGGGUGCAGUGGUUUAUUUGGGACGGAACUCUCAUCUUUCAGAUCUUCAUUCUUGCUGUUGACCUCACAUUUGGCAAUUUCACUUGAUUGCUCCAUUGAGCAUUUCUCUUUCAGCCUAGUUGCGCUUUGGCUUUCCUUUGUGCGUUUCUUCAGAUGGGUGUGCCAGUAGUUUUUAAUCUCAUUGUCUGUUCUUCCUGGUAAUUCUGCAGCUAUCUUCGACCAUUUAUUUCCUAAUUGUUUAUGCAAUUUCAUUAUUAAAGCCCCUUCUUCUUUGGAGUAGUUUCCAUAUUUUACACCUGGACGAAGGUAAUUCAUCCAUCUUAGUCUGCAACUCUUGCCGCACCUUGACAGUCCUGCAAACUUGGGAAGUUCACGCCAGUUCCAAUGGCCAUAUUUCAUAAUAUAAGCUUUUAGCUUGUCGUCUUCUUCCGGACUCCAAGCACCUUUCUUGAGUCCAUUUUUGUCAAAGAAUGCAGCCCUCACCAUUUCUCAGAGAUCGAGUGAUCAAUUCUCAGCUCAUAUCAACAAUUUCACAUAUCUGGUAUCAUUAUAUCUUCCAAGUU